UACGUAGGGUGCAAGCGUUAAUCGGAAUUACUGGGCGUAAAGCGUGCGCAGGCGGUUCGCUAAGACAGAUGUGAAAUCCCCCGGGCUUAACCUGGGAACUGCAUUUGUGACUGGCGGGCUAGAGUAUGGCAGAGGGGGUAGGAAUUCCGCGUGUAGCAGUGAAAUGCGUAGAGAUGCGGAGGAACACCGAUGGCGAAGGCAGCCCCCUGGGCUGACACUGACGCUGAGGCACGAAAGCGUGGGGGGAGCAAACAGG
rnacentral:rRNA from 1 species